rnacentral:rRNA from 1 species
CUGGCGGCGAUGCUUUACACAUGCAAGUCGAACGGUAACGCGGGGCGAACCUGGCGACGAGUGGCGAACGGGUGAGUAAUAUAUCGGAACGUGCCCAGUAGUGGGGGAUAGCCCGGCGAAAGCCGGAUUAAUACCGCAUACGACCUAAGGGUGAAAGCGGGGGAUCGCAAGACCUCGCGCUAUUGGAGCGGCCGAUAUCAGAUUAGGUAGUUGGUGGGGUAAAGGCCUACCAAGCCUACGAUCUGUAGCUGGUCUGAGAGGACGACCAGCCACACUGGGACUGAGACACGGCCCAGACUCCUACGGGAGGCAGCAGUGGGGAAUUUUGGACAAUGGGCGCAAGCCUGAUCCAGCCAUGCCGCGUGCGGGAAGAAGGCCUUCGGGUUGUAAACCGCUUUUGUCAGGGAAGAAAUCUUCUGGAUUAAUACCUCGGGAGGAUGACGGUACCUGAAGAAUAAGCACCGGCUAACUACGUG